AAAGGAGGUGAAUUUAAAUGAAAAAAUAAAUAGAAAAUGUAGAAUAAUAUUUUUUCGUACAAGGAUUUUUGCGGAUAAAUUUAUAAUUUACAAUUCAGUUUUGUCAUAAUAUCGAUAUGGUUACAUACACAGUGGAAGACAAAAGUAUUUACAUAUAGUACAUAAAAUAGAAAUAUGGAAAUAAAAAUUAUUAUAUUUUUUAUACAUUAUUAAUUAUAUUGAUAUAUAUGUGAUUGUAUAUUGUAUUCUAACAUUAGUAAUAACAAGUAUGAAAAAAAACAAAAGUUAACAACGCAAUUGUAAAAAGAAGUCAUUCAACAGUACAAAGUAUAGUGAAGAAAUUUAAUAAAGCAGGAAUAUUGCAAGACAAAAAGAAGUGGUCAACCAAGAAAAUUGUCAUUGAAAGAAAAA